GCGGGCAGGGGCGCGCACAGCCCCGCUGGCAGCGGCAGCGCCUUUGGCCGCCGUUUGGGGAUUUGCAAGCGCUGCCCCUGGCCGAGGGCCUCCUUUCCCAAGGGCUCCGCUGCUGCCUGCCCGCGCCUGGGCUGCCUGCGGCGGCGGGAGCAGGCAGAGGCGGCCUGAGGGUCCCAGCCUGCCCCGAGACCCACCGGGACGCUCCGCGCUGCGGCUCCCCGCAGCCCGGCCCCGUCCGGGAGGCCGCGGCCGCGGAGCCCCUCGCCCUGCCGUGCGGGCAGCCCGGGGGAAGGCGCCUCCGCGGCCGCGGAGCCCCUCGCCCUGCCGUGCGGGCAGCCCGGGGGAAGGCGCCGCCGCGGCCGGGCCGAGGCGCGUCCGUCUGCGCUGUGCGGCCCCGCCGCGCUGCGUGUGCCGGUGCCGCCGUCGCGGCAGUAGGAUGUUUUCGCGAUCGUUUUCUCUAUUUUAUAAACAGAGGCCGCACUGAAUGUAAACUCGUGUGGUUAUUCAACAGCCACCGCGUCCUGGGCACGGCUACAACGCCCCCUCGCCCCAUCCCUCCAUCCUUCCCUCGCUCCCUCCCUCCGCGCCGCCCGGGCAGCCCCUGCGCGGGGCGCUGCCCCCGCCCGCGCCCGUCGGGGCCCUGCCUCGCCCUGCCCUUGGGCCGCCGCACAGAGCCGGGAGAGCCGCAGCCCGAGCCCGACGGCCCCGGGACGGCCUGCCCGCGCCCGCCGUGCGCCGCCGGGCGGGCAGGACUCGCCCUGCCGGCAGCAGCGCGGCCUCCGCCGCCGUCGGUGCCGGCCGGGCUUCUCGUCAGGCCCCGGGCUGGCGAGGGGGCGGCGGUCGCAUCCUGGCUCGCUGCUGGCAGCCUGGACCGGGGGACCCCGCGGUGCGCACCCCGCGCCGGCGGACACGCGGGCUUUGGUGCGCGGGGCUGCGUCUCCCGUAUGAAGACUUAACACACACACCGCCCCGCCGGCUGACGGACUGCGUCGCUGCUGUGCAGGGUCGGGCCCGCACCGCGGCACCGCGGCACCCGGGCCGGGCGGAGGGAGGCUGCAUCCGAGCCGGCGAGCAGAGCAGCCCCGGGGUCGCCGUG
rnacentral:lncRNA from 1 species